rnacentral:rRNA from 1 species
UACGUGCCAGCAGCCGCGGUAAUACGGAGGGUGCGAGCGUUAAUCGGAAUAACUGGGCGUAAAGGGCACGCAGGCGGUGACUUAAGUGAGGUGUGAAAGCCCCGGGCUUAACCUGGGAAUUGCAUUUCAUACUGGGUCGCUAGAGUACUUUAGGGAGGGGUAGAAUUCCACGUGUAGCGGUGAAAUGCGUAGAGAUGUGGAGGAAUACCGAAGGCGAAGGCAGCCCCUUGGGAAUGUACUGACGCUCAUGUGCGAAAGCGUGGGGAGCAAACAGGAUUAGAUACCCUGGUAGUCCACGCUGUAAACGCUGUCGAUUUGGGGAUUGGGCUUAGAGCUUGGUGCCCGUAGCUAACGUGAUAAAUCGACCGCCUGGGGAGUACGGCCGCAAGGUUAAAACUCAAAUGAAUUGACGGGGGCCCGCACAAGCGGUGGAGCAUGUGGUUUAAUUCGAUGCAACGCGAAGAACCUUACCUACUCUUGACAUCCUAAGAAGUUUGCAGAGAUGCGAAUGUGC